UAAUACGUAGGGAGCAAGCGUUGUCCGGAAUCAUUGGGCGUAAAGAGCGCGUAGGUGGCUUUAUAAGUCCGUUGUGAAAGUCAAAGGCUCAACCUUUGAAAGCCGAUGGAUACUGUGAAGCUAGAGUACGGAAGAGGCGAGUGGAAUUCCUGGUGUAGCGGUGGAAUGCGCAGAUAUCAGGAGGAACACCAAUAGCGAAGGCAGCUCGCUGGGACGUUACUGACACUGAGGCGCGAAAGCGUGGGGAGCGAACAGG
rnacentral:rRNA from 1 species